CCCUCCUGGACAUCGUCAAAGACCCAGUGUCCAGAACACCUGCCUUAGUUUUUGAACAUGUGAACAACACAGACUUUAAGCAACUGUAUCAGACACUGACAGACAUUCGCUUAUACAUGUAUGAGAUUCUGAAGGCUUUGGAUUUCUGUCACAGUAUGGGUAUUAUGCACAGAGAUGUCAAACCACACAACAUCAUGACUGAUCAUGAGCACAGAAAGGUAAUCAGUCUAUUCACAUAAGAAACAACAACAUUGAUUUUUGAGAUGAAAGUAUGUUGGAAGUAUAAAAUAAUGCUGCAUAGUUCUAGGAAAGGAACAUUUGUAUGUUGGCAUAAGACAGCCUUGGAGGUUGGAGGUUUAAAGUUUCAUUAAGCCACUGACGUUUGCAGCAUGCAUACUUCUCAUUAGCAUUAUGUAUACAGAUAGACAAA